rnacentral:rRNA from 1 species
UCAGACGAUGCGUCAUGCAUAUCAAUAAGCGGAGGAAAAGAAACUAACAAGGAUUCCCCUAGUAACGGCGAGUGAAGCGGGAAGAGCUCAAAUUUGAAAUCUUAAAGGGUUUCCCUUUACGAAUUGUAGUUUAAAGAAGUGUUUUCUGUUGAGGUUUUGGUAAAAGUUCUUUGGAAUAGGAUAUCAUAGAGGGUGAGAAUCCCGUAUUUGACCUUUACUUUCAACUUUGUGAUACACUUUCAAAGAGUCGGAUUGUUUGGGAAUGCAGUCCAAAAUGGGAUGGUAAAUUUCAUCUAAAGCUAAAUAUUGGCGAGAGACCGAUAGCGAACAAGUACCGUGAGGGAAAGAUGAAAAGAACUUUGAAAAGAGAGUUAAACAGUACGUGAAAUUGUCAAAAGGGAAGCGUUUGACACCAGUGUUGUUUUUCUGAAAAUCAAUUAAAGAACUGUUUAUGCUAAGUUGUUUAGACUUUAUCAGCUAACUGUUUAGUUUUGAGCUUUUCUUUAAUGCACUUUUCAGUUAACAAGUCAACAUCAAUUUCUUUUGCUGUAAAAAAGCUUGAGGAAGGUGGCUUGAGAUUCGUCUUAAGUGUUUAUAGCCUCUUGCCUAUGCAGUCGGAGAGAUUGAGGUCUGCAGCGUAGAUCCUUCGGGGCUAAAUGCAUUUGUGCUAAGUUAUAGCAUUUUAUAGACAACUUGUUGACUAUGAUUUGUCUUGUAGCUUACUCGCUUAUGUUAUUUUACCUACGCUUAGGAUGUUGACACACGCGCGUGCUCG